rnacentral:rRNA from 1 species
GACGAACGCUGGCGGCGUGCUUAACACAUGCAAGUCGAACGGUGAAGCGCCUUCCUUUUUGGUGGGUGUGGAUGAGUGGCGAACGGGUGAGUAACACGUGAGUAACCUGCCCCCUUCUUCUGGAUAACCGCAUGAAAGUGUGGCUAAUACGGGAUAUUCUGGGUCUGUCGCAUGAUGGGUCUGGGAAAGAUAUUGUUUCGGUGGGGGAUGGGCUCGCGGCCUAUCAGCUUGUUGGUGGGGUGAUGGCCUACCAAGGCGGUGACGGGUAGCCGGCCUGAGAGGGUGGACGGUCACACUGGGACGGAGACACGGCCCAGACUCCUACGGGAGGCAGCAGUGAGGAAUAUUGCACAAUGGGCGCAAGGCUGAUGCAGCGACGCCGCGUGAGGGAUGGAGGCCUUCGGGUUGUGAACCUCUUUCGCCAGUGAAGCAGGCCUGCCUCGUUUGUGGGUGGGUUGACGGUAGCUGGAUAAGAAGCGCCGGCUAACUACGUG